GACGAACGCUGGCGGCGUGCUUAACACAUGCAAGUCGAACGGAAAGGCCCUGCUUUUGUGGGGUGCUCGAGUGGCGAACGGGUGAGUAACACGUGAGUAACCUGCCCUUGACUUUGUGAUAACUUCAGGAAACUGGGGCUAUUACCGGAUAGGAUCUCCUGCUGCAUUUUGUGGUUUGGAAAGUUUCGGCGUUUGGGGAUGGACUCGCGGCUUAUCAGCUUGUUGGUGGGGUAGUGGCUUACCAAGGCUUUGACGGCUAGCCGGCCUGAGAGGGUGAACGGCGACAAUGGGACUGAGAUACGGAGCAGAAGAGAACGGGAGGCAGAAGUGGGGAAUAUUGCACAAUGGGCGGAAGCGUGAUGCAGCAACGCCGCGUGCGGGAAGACGGCCUACGGGUUGUAAACCGCUUGCGACUGUGACGAAGAGGGAGUGACGGUAAUGGGUAAAGAAGCACCGGCUAACUACGUG
rnacentral:rRNA from 1 species